rnacentral:lncRNA from 1 species
GUGGGUGAAACAUCAUUCUGAACAAGAAAAAAAAAGAAUAGAUAAAGAGAAUAUAAUAAAGAAAAGAAAACUGGAAACGGCUUUAAAGAAAACGUUAGCUGAAACUAAGAAGUUAGCUAAGAAGCUUAAAAGGGUUGUUAAAGAAGGGGGACCAGAAAAAACAGAAGAUUCAAAAAAGUUGAUAAACGGAGUUUAAGAAAAUCAAGUUAAAGAAAAACAAAAUGAUGUGGAAGCGACCAAGAUCCAGGAUGUUGAUGAUGAAAAUAAAAAGUUAGCCGGAAAACAGAACAAGAAGUUAAAAUUGGCUGUUAAAGAAGGGGAAUCAGAAAAGUUUAUUGAUGGAGUUCGAGAAAAUAAAGUUGUUAAAAAAGAAAUAGACGUGGAAACGAAGAAGCCUGACAAAACAAGCAGUAAAACUUUUAAUAUUGGAGACUUCGUGGUUAUAAGUUACCAAAAGAAGAGGUAUCCAGGUUUAAUAAAAAAUAUAGAUCAGGGUGCCCAAGAAUAUGAGAUCAGCGGUAUGGAAAAGAUAAAACCAAAUUUUUGGAGAUGGCCGAAAAAUGUGGACCA